rnacentral:lncRNA from 1 species
ACUUGCACUCCGAAUGUGUAAUGCCCUCUUAGAUCUUUCUGUUACUGCGUAUGUUGUUGAUUCAGCUGCCUAACUCCAAUUCAUUCUCCUCUGGUGAGUCUUCCCUCUUUCCCACACUCAAAUCGUAUUAUGUGCUCUGUACUUUAUGAUCUAUCCCACAGUACCAGAGGGUACCUCCAUAUUAAACUUAAAUUAUACAAAAGUAAUUGCUUUCUGGUCUGACUUUUCCUAUUAGAUGGUUGACUUUCAUAAGGCAGUGACUAUGUCUUUUAUCUUUGCAACCCUUGCACUUAGUACAGUUUUUGGUAUAAAUACUAUGUACUCAAAAUUUUUAAAAAAUAAAUGCCAGGUUUUAUAUAUUGUACAUGUUGAGGAGGUGACAAUAUAGUAGUGACAAAUCAAUUUCAUAUUACUAAAACAUAAGGCACAAGUUGUGCCACAAAAUAAGUUAAAAUGAAAUUAUUUAUUAUUUUCAGGAAGGAAUGCUCAAUUCUAGUUUUAGGGUGGGAUGGGGGUACAGAAUUGAGAAAGUUUGAGGGAGAAGAUGGCAAUUGGGAUGACUCUGACAAAAAUAAUUUUAAUACUUGGAGAGGCAAUACCUAAGGAAUACGUUCAGUAACAGUACUGACAUAGUAAAACUGAGGGUGUAAUACAAGAUGAUAGUGUAGUGCCACUGAGCAUGUAACAGAGUAUUGGAAAAAGCUACAGAAGGAGGUUAGGCUUUAAAUGCUGGCUAAGGAGGAAGUAUGUAAUUUAGAAAGCAACUAUAGUGUCAUUAAAGGCAGUUACUAGCAGAAGACAAAAUAUUAGAGCAACUAUGCUAGUCCCAUUAAGGAAUAACAAGGUCAUCUUUGAUAGGUAGUAUGGUAUAGACAGGCAGAGAGACUGGGUUUCAAGUGCUGGUUCUGUCACUUAUUAGUGGUAUGAUCUUGAACGUGUUACUUAACUUUGCUAAGUCUUAUUUUCCUCAUUUAUUUCAGAAUAACUUUGUGAUUAAAUUUAUAUAAAGAGAUUAGCACGGUGCUUGAAUUAAUCAGUGAUAUUUCUGCUGCAACUGAUAAAAAUUCAACUCAAAUGAGCAUAAGCAAAUAAGGGAAAUUAUUAAAAGACUACUGACUAGAUCAAUGAAACAGAAUCGAAAGCCCAGAAAUAGACCCACUCAAAUACAGUCAACUAAUCUUUGACAAAGGAGCAAGGGCAAUACAAUGGAGCAAAGAUAGUUCAACAAAUGGUGCUGAAACAACUGAGCAUCCACAUGCAAAAUAAAAAAUAAAUGUACACAUAAAUUUUACAUCUUUCAUAAAAACUAGCUCAAAGGGCCGGGCGCGGUGGCUCAAGCUUGUAAUCCCAGCACUUUGGGAGGCCGAGACGGGCGGAUCACAAGGUCAGGAGAUCGAGACCAUCCUGGCUAACAUGGUGAAACCCCGUCUCUACUAAUAAUACAAAAAAAAAAUUAGCCGGGCGUGGUGGUGGGCACCUGUAGUCCCAGCUACUCAGGAGGCUGAGGCAGGAGAAUGGCGUGAACCCGGAGGUCGCACCACUGCACUCCAGCCUGGGCGACAGAGCGAGACUCCGUCUCAAAAAAAUAAAAUAAAAUAAAAAAA